UACGAAGGAUGCAAGCGUUAUCCGGAUUUAUUGGGUUUAAAGGGUGCGUAGGCGGACUUAUAAGUCAGUGGUGAAAUCUCCGGGCUCAACCCGGAAACUGCCAUUGAUACUAUUAGUCUUGAAUUUUGUUGAGGUAGGCGGAAUAAGUCAUGUAGCGGUGAAAUGCUUAGAUAUGACUUAGAACACCAAUUGCGAAGGCAGCUUGCUAAACAAACAUUGACGCUGAGGCACGAAAGCGUGGGGAUCAAACAGG
rnacentral:rRNA from 1 species